rnacentral:tRNA from 1 species
GUGGGCGUAGCUCAGUUGGUUAGAGCGCCGGUUUGUGGUACCGGAGGUCGAGGGUUCAACCCCCUUCGCCCACCCCA